GUCAAAAUAUCUCAGUUGGGAGAGCGUUAGAUUAUAGAUCGAAAGCCCUGGUUCGAUCCCGGGAUUCGGCA
rnacentral:tRNA from 1 species